GCACGCAGGAGGGAUAGUUCAGUUGGUAGAGCACGAGACUCUUAGUCUCAGGCUUGUGGGUUCGAAUCCCACAUUGGGCA